UUCAUCAAUAGACCCGUGCCACUUGUCACUUUUUGUCAACUUCAAAUCGAAACUUAAAUUUAUCUUAAUGAAAAGCACCCUGAAAUGGAAACGCGCAACGGCCAUCUACCCCACCGACCACAUAAUCUCAUCCAAAGCACGCGAAGUUGGAACGUGGGGAUUUAAGCCACAGUAUGAAAACGUCACAAACGUGAAUUUCCGCUUCUUAAUGUCCAACGAGUAUAUGCGAUUGUGGUUCAAGGAACGCGAUCUCUACCAGAAAGAAAACUAUUCCAAGCAAGAAAAAGCGCAGAACGAGUCGAGUUUAAAACGCGGUUUUGUGCAAAGGAUGAGGACAAACACCACGCUCGAAUCGAGAGAACUCCCCGUAAUCCAGCUCAAACGGUUUCAAAACAUUAUGUCUAAAGUGGACACGAGGAGGAGCACAGACGAGAAGGCAAAAAUCUGUCAACGAUACAAGAAAACUAUGGAACCCGUGCAACUCUCGCGGUACAAACCGAACUGUACAGUUAAACCUAAAACAAUGACAAACAUAGAUAAAAGUCAAAAAUCAAAAGGGAAGAAGAAAACGCCACGAGAGGACGCCGAUUCGGGGGACAAUCAGCCAGGAAAGUGUGGACUUGUAUGUAAAUUAAUAAACUGAUAAAGUAUUAUACAUAUAUUAAAUUUA